rnacentral:rRNA from 1 species
UACGAAGGGGACUAGCGUUGUUCGGAAUCACUGGGCGUAAAGCGCACGUAGGCGGAUUCGUAAGUCAGGGGUGAAAUCCCGGGGCUCAACCUCGGAACUGCCUUCGAUACUGCGGGUCUCGAGUCCGGGAGAGGUGAGUGGAAUUCCUAGUGUAGAGGUGAAAUUCGUAGAUAUUAGGAAGAACACCAGUGGCGAAGGCGGCUCACUGGCCCGGUACUGACGCUGAGGCGCGAAAGCGUGGGGGAGCAAACAGG